rnacentral:hammerhead_ribozyme from 1 species
AUCCAACUGACGACUUCCAAAUGGGACGAAACGCGCGUUCCAGGAU